ACCGUAGUAGCCCAGUUGGUAGUGGCGUCGGCAGUACAGAUGCCGAAGGUAGCAAGCAGGUUCAAAUCCUGCCUGCGGUG